GAGCAAAUCGCUAAAAGCCGUCCCAGUUCGGAUCGCAGGCUGCAACCCGCCUGCGUGAAGUUGGAAUUGCUAGUAAUCGCGGAUCAGCAUGCCGCGGUGAAUACGUUCCCGGGCCUUGUACACACCGCCCGUCACACCAUGAGAGUCGGGAACACCCGAAGUCCGUAGUCUAACCGCAAGGAGGGCGCGGCCGAAGGUGGGUUCGAUAAUUGGGGUGAAGUCGUAACAAGGUAUC
rnacentral:rRNA from 1 species